UCCUUCCACAAGUGAUCACACUGAUC
rnacentral:piRNA from 1 species